AGGCAAAAUUUGCCACAAGACACCGUUAAAAGGCCAUUUUCAGUGCUCAAAUCACUAUGAAAGCUCUUGAUUAGUCAUUGUGAAAUGGGGGCUGGGAUCUUUGGUAAAUGGAGAUCCAGGGAGCCGACUGUGAACCUUGGGUUUCGGCGUGUACCUGGUUUAGUGAAUUGUCUGGAGACCUUCAGGCUUCAGCGGCGCUCCGCACGGGGCCUCGGGGUGGCCAUCCUCGUCGGCUGUGCGCGCCUGCCGCUUCUUGGCUGCCCCGGCCUCGCGCUCCAGCGGAGCCACUCGUCCUCGCGGCGGCACGCUAGCUCACGCGUGCGGCUAGCUGCUGCUGCUCGAGCUCGGCGAUGUGGCGGUGAGAUGCACACCGGGGAAGGCUUGUCGCAAAGGGCCCCUACCACGCGCGGCCGUCGUCGGGGAGGGGCUGCGCGCUGGAGGAAUCGGCGCCGCUAGCUCCGUUCGCGAACUUCUCUGCGAUGCGAUAGUUUCUGGAGAAAGAAAAUGGCAUGCGGGAGAAGAUAAGGUAGGAGGGGCAAACUAGUCAUUUCCCGUGGCUCUUGAAUUAAAUCAGAUAGAAUAAUUCAUGAAGUGUCCUGUGCCAAAUGUACAAGAUUUAUCAGUGUCUCCCAGCAGUGACAAAAUUUUUUAGUGGUUUAUAGCAAAGUUCACCUUUUAACGGUGUCUUGUGGCAAA